UUGAACGCUGGCGGCAUGCCUUACACAUGCAAGUCGCACGGCAGCACGGGUGCUUGCACCUGGUGGCGAGUGGCGAACGGGUGAGUAAUACAUCGGAACAUGUCCUGUAGUGGGGGAUAGCCCGGCGAAAGCCGGAUUAAUACCGCAUACGAUCUACGGAUGAAAGCGGGGGCCCUUCGGGCCUCGCGCUAUAGGGUUGGCCGAUGGCUGAUUAGCUAGUUGGUGGGGUAAAGGCCUACCAAGGCGACGAUCAGUAGCUGGUCUGAGAGGACGACCAGCCACACUGGGACUGAGACACGGCCCAGACUCCUACGGGAGGCAGCAGUGGGGAAUUUUGGACAAUGGGCGAAAGCCUGAUCCAGCAAUGCCGCGUGUGUGAAGAAGGCCUUCGGGUUGUAAAGCACUUUUGUCCGGAAAGAAAUCCUUGGCCCUAAUACGGUCGGGGGAUGACGGUACCGGAAGAAUAAGCACCGGCUAACUACGUG
rnacentral:rRNA from 1 species